GGAGAGGUCGCAUAGCUGGUCUAGUGCGUUCGCUUGGAAAGUGAAUGUCGUCGUAAGACGACCGGGAGUUCGAAUCUCCCCCUCUCCG
rnacentral:tRNA from 1 species